UACAGAGGUCUCAAGCGUUGUUCGGAUUCAUUGGGCGUAAAGGGUGCGUAGGCGGCGCGGUAAGUCGGGUGUGAAAUCUUGGAGCUUAACUCCGAAACUGCAUUCGAUACUGCGGUGCUUGAGGACUGGAGAGGAGACUGGAAUUCAUGGUGUAGCAGUGAAAUGCGUAGAGAUCAUGAGGAAGACCAGUGGCGAAGGCGGGUCUCUGGACAGUUCCUGACACUGAGGCACGAAGGCCAGGGGAGCAAAACGGGG
rnacentral:rRNA from 1 species